GCCGGUCCUCGGUAGUGGCCCCCGGUAGGCACGGCGACAGCCGUGCGGACGGACCGGGCGCUUCGAUCGAAGACCGGC
rfam:Microbispora rosea strain ATCC 12950 genome assembly, contig: Ga0104720_131